CUCCCCGCCGCCUGGCCCGGCUCCGCGGCUCCCCGCCCGCUCUCGCCCCGCUCCCUCGGCGGGGACAGCCUGCCUCUUUAAGAAGUCUCCGCAGAUUUUCUCCCCUCGCAGAAUAAAUAAUGUAUUUUCUUUUUUUUCCUCUCCACUGUACACCUAUUUCCCCAGCGUGGCCGCUCCAUUGUUUCUGCUCCGCCGAGACGCAACCCCUGCCCGGCCGCGAACGGGGAGGUGCGAGCAGGGAGCGCAAAUGGACGCGAAACUUACCUACAGAUUGCAAAGCAGCCUUGCAGCAGCAAAAUAAUAAGGAAGAAGGCAGGCAAAAUCCUCUCUCCCCAACUGAUUUGCAGCUCUACUCGGUCUAUUUUAAGGCGGGGAAUCUCGGUUUAGUCUUCCUGAACACCAGGCACUCGGAAACCCUUCCACUCUGGAAACCGAAAGCAGGAGAAUACCUAUUCUCCCUUCUGUAUUUUUGUAUUAUUAAACAGGGGAAAACCACCCUGGAUCCGAUGUGCUCCCAA